rnacentral:ncRNA from 1 species
CUUUGAAAUUUCCCUCAAGAUGCUGGAGUACGUAAUGAAGCUGUUAUAUUCGGUAAAGUGUUUGAAUAGAAAAAUAGUAGGACGAAGCAUCUUCAACCUAUUCUCAAACUUUCAAUGAGUAUGACAUCUUGCUUGCUUGAAUGAAGCGUAAACAUUGAGUAUUUACGUGAAGGGUUUCACGUGAAGUAUUUCAGUGUUUCACGGAUAUGUAUGUGAAGUACGCCAUUUUUGGUAAACAAAACUGGCGUUUGAGAUGAAUGAAAUGUUGAGUUAAAGUAUAAGUCUUC